rnacentral:lncRNA from 1 species
GCCGACUCCAGAUAUCCACGAGCGAGGGAGAGCUGUGUCAUCGCGUGCUGUACUGUUUCCGGAGGAGUAGCCUUCCCGAGCGGGGAAGGCGCAGGAGGAAGCCUUCAAACACUGGGAAUCUGGUCACCCACAUCCGUGGCUGGCACGUUCAUCGAAUGUCCCGAAGAAUCUCUCCAACACUCGAGCCAACAUGCCCACGCCAGCUGCGAAAGACACCUAUUCGGGGCCCCCGCUCAAGCCCCCAAGAGUUGGGGCUGGCACCGAACUCCCAAGUUAGGUUCCUCCAGGACUGAUGCGUCCGUUCCGGUCACACGGAGGGCUAUUAUUCUUCCAGAAGAAUCACCGAGAGAGGAUAUCUAUCAUGGUGAAGCUCACAGAUUUUGGGGUUCCAUCUGGCACAAUACUCCCUUGCCUCGGGCCUUGGGCAAGUCAUCCAACUACACUGAGCCUCGGGGUCCUGAAGCAUAAGGCGGGGGCCACCUACCUCACAUGACAUUGAUUACAUAACGUGUCUAAAGCGUCCAGGGUGUGUGUUUGUUAUGACCGCUGCCCACGGACGUCUCGGGGACGUGUAGACCAGCCAUGCCUGCGGCAAGCGCCACCUUGCUCUGGUACCAUACUCACGGUGCCCCUCGCCCGCAUCCGGAA